rnacentral:rRNA from 1 species
UACGUAGGCGGAAUAAUAAGUCAGUGGUGAAAUCCUGCGGCUCAACCGUAGAACUGCCAUUGAUACUGUUAUUCUUGAAUAUAGUUGAGGUAGGCGGAAUGUGUAAUGUAGCGGUGAAAUGCUUAGAUAUUACACAGAACACCGAUUGCGAAGGCAGCUUACUAAACUAUUAUUGACGCUGAUGUACGAAAGCGUGGGGAGCGAACAGGAUUAGAUACCCUGGUAGUCC